GUAGACUCUGAUUUACCUUACAGAAGCACAGGGAGUACAUUGGUUAACGUAGAUAAGAGAAAUUGUCACAGGGAGUGUUAUUUUACCCAUCAGUCAUCAGACAGACAGACAAAGGUCUGUUGUCAAAACUGAAAGAUAUUGAAUUCAGCGGGUAGUUUGUUGCCUAUGCUACACUAUGUUGAAGUGUCUGAAGACAGACUACAGUCUGGUACAGAAUGAUGAAUGAUUCACUUGCCUCAUCAGGUGCAGAUGGUGAAUGAUUCACUUUCCCCAUCAGGUGCAGAUGGUGAAUGAUUCACUUGCCUCAUCAGGUGCAGAUGGUGAAGGAUUCACCUCCCUCAUCAGGUGCAGGAUGAUGAAUGAUUCAUUUGCCUCAUCAGGUGCAGGAUGAUGAAUGAUUCACAACGCCUCAUCAGGUGC